GGGUCGAUGGCGUAGUUGGUUAUCGCAUCUGUCUCACAUUCGUAAUGUGCACACAGGAGGUCCUCAGUUCGAGCCUGGGUCGACUCA